UAGGGAAUAUUGCGCAAUGGGCGAAAGCCUGACGCAGCGACGCCGCGUGGGUGAUGAAGGCCUUCGGGUCGUAAAGCCCUGUCGAGGGGGACGAAUCGGUCGCGACCUAAUACGUCGUGAUCCUGACGGUACCCCUAAAGGAAGCACCGGCUAACUCCGUG
rnacentral:rRNA from 1 species